rnacentral:rRNA from 1 species
AACGAACGCUGGCGGCAUGCCUAACACAUGCAAGUCGAACGAGACCUUCGGGUCUAGUGGCGCACGGGUGCGUAACGCGUGGGAACCUGCCCUUAGGUUCGGAAUAACUCCCCGAAAGGGGUGCUAAUACCGGAUAAUGUCUUCGGACCAAAGAUUUAUCGCCUUUGGAUGGGCCCGCGUUGGAUUAGCUGGUUGGUAGGGUAAAAGCAUACCAAGGCGACGAUCCAUAGCUGGUCUGAGAGGAUGAUCAGCCACACUGGGACUGAGACACGGCCCAGACUCCUACGGGAGGGAGCAGUGGGGAAUAUUGGACAAUGGGCGAAAGCCUGAUCCAGCAAUGCCGCGUGAGUGAUGAAGGCAUUAGGGUUGUAAAGCUCUUUUACCCGGGAUGAUAAUGACAGUACCGGGAGAAUAAGCUCCGGCUAACUCCGUG